GACGAACGCUGGCGGCGUGCUUAACACAUGCAAGUCGAACGGAAAGGCCCUGCUUUUGUGGGGUGCUCGAGUGGCGAAAGGGUGAGUAACACGUGAGUAACCUGCCCUUGACUUUGGGAUAACUUCAGGAAACUGGGGCUAAUAACGGAUAGGAGCUCCUGCUGCAUGGUGGGGGUUGGAAAGUUUCGGCGGUUGGGGAUGGACUCGCGGCUUAUCAGCUUGUUGGUGGGGUAGUGGCUUACCAAGGCUUUGACGGGUAGCCGGCCUGAGAGGGUGACCGGCCACAUUGGGACUGAGAUACGGCCCAGACUCCUACGGGAGUCAGCAGUGGGGAAUAUUGCACAAUGGGCGGAAGCCUGAUGCAGCAACGCCGCGUGCGGGAUGACGGCCUUCGGGUUGUAAACCGCUUUCGCCUGUGACGAAGCGUGAGUGACGGUAAUGGGUAAAGAAGCACCGGCUAACUACGUG
rnacentral:rRNA from 1 species